rnacentral:rRNA from 1 species
AGAGUUUGAUUAUGGCUCAGGAUGAACGCUAGCGACAGGCNUAACACAUGCAAGUCGAGGGGCAUCGGGGCGAGGAGCAAUCCUUGCCGCCGGCGACCGGCGCACGGGUGAGUAACGCGUAUGCGACCUGCCCGUUGCAGGGGGAUAAUCGGGAGAAAUCCCGUCUAAUACCGCGUAAUGCCGCGGGGCUGCAUGGCCCUGCGGCCAAAGGAAGCGAUUCCGGCAACGGAUGGGCAUGCGUGACAUUAGCUAGUUGGCGGGGCAACGGCCCACCAAGGCGACGAUGUCUAGGGGUUCUGAGAGGAAGGUCCCCCACACUGGUACUGAAACACGGACCAGACUCCUACGGGAGGCAGCAGUGAGGAAUAUUGGUCAACGGGCGCGAGCCUGAACCAGCCAAGUCGCGUGAGGGAUGACGGCCCUACGGGUUGUAAACCUCUUUUGUCGGGGAGCAAAUUCCGCCACGUGUGGCGGAGUCGAGAGUACCCGAAGAAAAAGCAUCGGCUAACUCCGUGCCAGCAGCCGCGGUAAUACGGAGGAUGCGAGCGUUAUCCGGAUUUAUUGGGUUUAAAGGGUGCGUAGGCGGACUGUCAAGUCAGCGGUAAAAUACGGGGGCUCAACCUCCGCCCGCCGUUGAAACUGACGGUCUUGAGUGGGCGAGAAGUAUGCGGAAUGCGUGGUGUAGCGGUGAAAUGCAUAGAUAUCACGCAGAACUCCGAUUGCGAAGGCAGCAUACCGGCGCCCAACUGACGCUGAAGCACGAAAGCGUGGGUAUCGAACAGGAUUAGAUACCCUGGUAGUCCACGCAGUAAACGAUGAAUACUAGCUGUCCGGGGCGAAUGAGCCCUGGGUGGCACAGCGAAAGCGUUAAGUAUUCCACCUGGGGAGUACGCCGGCAACGGUGAAACUCAAAGGAAUUGACGGGGGCCCGCACAAGCGGAGGAACAUGUGGUUUAAUUCGAUGAUACGCGAGGAACCUUACCCGGGCUCAAACGACACAGGAACGUACCUGAAAGGGUUCGGCUCUACGGAGCCUGUGUCGAGGUGCUGCAUGGUUGUCGUCAGCUCGUGCCGUGAGGUGUCGGCUUAAGUGCCAUAACGAGCGCAACCCCCAUCGACAGUUGCUAACAGGUCAGGCUGAGGACUCUGUCGAGACUGCCGGCGCAAGCUGCGAGGAAGGCGGGGAUGACGUCAAAUCAGCACGGCCCUUACGUCCGGGGCGACACACGUGUUACAAUGGCAGGUACAGCGGGAAGCCACCUGGCGACGGGGAGCGGAACCCGAAAGCCUGUCUCAGUUCGGAUUGGAGUCUGCAACCCGACUCCAUGAAGCUGGAUUCGCUAGUAAUCGCGCAUCAGCCACGGCGCGGUGAAUACGUUCCCGGGCCUUGUACACACCGCCCGUCAAGCCAUGGAAGCCGGGGGUGCCUGAAGUGCGCUGCCGCGAGGAGCGCCCUAGGGUAAAACCGGUGACUGGGGCUAAGUCGUAACAAGGUAGC